rnacentral:lncRNA from 1 species
UGUGAAGGCACACCCCCUCUCUGGACCUCCGUUUGUGACUCAUCCACCAGCCCCCAGCCUGAGCUCCCCAACGGCAGGGGCGACGUCCAAGCAGCCCCAGAGCCCAGGACAGGCCUGGCAUGGAGCAGGUGUCAAUGGGACUGUUGACCAAUCAGCGUGGGAGCUGUGCCUUCCUGCUCUGACUUCCCAGGGUCAGGGCCAUGAUGUUGAUGGGGACGGGCUGCUGUUCCUCUGUCCACCCUGAGAGCCUCCUAGAGGCCCCAGCCCCAGCUGCUCCAUGCUCAGUCCAGGGGUGAAGAAAGCAGAGGAUCACAGGGACCGGGGCUGGGGCUGGACAGGGACCGGCACUGGGGCUGGAUGGCACCAAGAGAACGCCCACUGCCAGAGACAGAACUGCUCUGGAGUCUCGACUCCUCUCGAUCCGUGAGGCCAGGGAUCAGACACCGGCUGAGGUCGCCGGGAGGACACUGUCCCCAGCUCUCUUCAAACAGAGAAUGCAUUCAGAGAAUAAACAAGACCCAAGAAAGCGCAGUGUUCACUUUGGAUUGAGCAGAAAUGGCAUUCCGAGGCAGGGGACCUCUUCCCAGCCCAGAGAGAGAGGAGGCAGUGGGCUCAGAGCUCAGACUUGUUUCCUUUUCCUGGAAGAAGCUUCCAGCUCCUGGGCUCCCGCUUACUCAGGCCGCCCCCACCACGUGAGAACUCAG